rnacentral:rRNA from 1 species
UGGGGAAUUUUGGACAAUGGGCGCAAGCCUGAUCCAGCAAUGCCGCGUGCAGGAUGAAGGCCUUCGGGUUGUAAACUGCUUUUGUACGGAGCGAAAAGGUCUGCCCUAAUACGGUGGGCUCAUGACGGUACCGUAAGAAUAAGCACCGGCUAACUACGUGCCAGCAGCCGCGGUAAUACGUAGGGUGCGAGCGUUAAUCGGAAUUACUGGGCGUAAAUCGGGCGCAGGCGGUUAUAUAAGACAGAUGUGAAAUCCCCGGGCUCAACCUGGGACCUGCAUUUGUGACUGCAUAGCUAGAGUACGGCAGAGGGGGAUGGAAUUCCGAGUGUAGCAGUGAAAAGAGUAGAUAGGCGGAGGAAGAGCGAUGGCGAGGGCAAUCGACUGGGCCUGUAAUGACGCUCAGGCGCGAAAGGGUGGGGAGCGAACA